rnacentral:rRNA from 1 species
AGAUUGAACGCUGGCGGCAGGCCUAACACAUGCAAGUCGAGCGGCAGCACGGGUACUUGUACCUGGUGGCGAGCGGCGGACGGGUGAGUAAUGCCUAGGAAUCUGCCUGGUAGUGGGGGAUAACGCUCGGAAACGGACGCUAAUACCGCAUACGUCCUACGGGAGAAAGCAGGGGACCUUCGGGCCUUGCGCUAUCAGAUGAGCCUAGGUCGGAUUAGCUUAGGUUGGUGAGGUAAUGGCUCACCAAGGCGACGAUCCGUAACUGGUCUGAGAGGAUGACCAGUCACA